AAGCCGGGGGACAGCUGCCUCCAUCGGAGGAUGACAGACUACCAGCAUCACCUGGAACAGCACAGCUGGAUGUGGGGCUGUGCAGAGCCAACAGCUCCGCACGUCAGCAGCCCCCACUGCCCUUCCCAGUGGGGCUUGGUCCUGGCAGCCCCUCCUCCACCCCUGCUCCCUGGUCCUAAGGCUGCGAAGCGGAUGAAGCUGAUGCCAGGGAGCCGGGCUGGGUAUGCCCCCACCACCAUGCCAGACACAUCAUCCUGAAGGCACAGGAGCUGAUGCGCCUGCAGUGGACCCCUCGUCCUGCCCCACCAGAGAUGCUCAGUGCCCAGUCCACUUCUGUGUGGGGUGGCUGUGGGCAGUGCCAUUACCUGGCUCUGGAGCUCGCAGGAUCCCUGCGUGUCAGCCGUGGGGAGCAGCUGGGAAAGCUGCUCGGUGAUGCCCAGGUCUCGGAUCAGCUUCUCACGCUGCAGCAGAGCAUUCACUCUCCUCUUCUCUUCAUGUGCCAUGAUGUUCUGGGGCUGCAUGGAGUUGUACUGCAUGCGCUGCACCUCGGCAGAGAAACACCUGAGCUAUAGCAAAAAAGCUGAAGCUGGGGUAAUGCACAGGCAGGGAGUCAAACCUGGAAUUUCUGCUCCGUGGGUGCACCAAUGGCUCAGCAUAGCUCCCGGAGCCAUAUCACUGACUUGGAGAGCCCACGGACAAUGCUGGCACUGAGGUACCUUUCUAUCCCACGCCUUGGUGCUUCUGUAGGUAAGGU